AGAUAAGCCAUGCAUGUCUAAGUAUAAGCAAUCUAUACUGUGAACUGCGAAUGGCUCAUAAAUCAGUUAUCGUUUAUUUGAUAGUACGUACUACUGGAUACCGUGGUAAUCUAGAGCUAAUACAUGCUAAAACCCGACUUCGGGAGGGGUGUAUUUAUUAGAUAAAAAACCAAUGCCUUCUGGGCUCCUUGGUGAUUCAUGAUAACUUAACGAAUCGCAUGGCCCUUGCGCCGGCGAUGGUUCAUUCAAAUUUCUGCCCUAUCAACUUUCGAUGGUAGGAUAGUGGCCUACCAUGGUAUCAACGGGUAACGGGGAAUUAGGGUUCUAUUCCGGAGAGGGAGCGUGAGAAACGGCUACCACAUCCAAGGAAGGCAGCAGGCGCGCAAAUUACCCAAUCCCGACACGGGGAGGUAGUGACAAUAAAUACUGAUACAGGGCUCUUUUGGGUCUUGUAAUUGGAAUGAGUACAAUUUAAAUACCUUAACGAGGAACAAUUGGAGGGCAAGUCUGGUGCCAGCAGCCGCGGUAAUUCCAGCUCCAAUAGCGUAUAUUAAAGUUGUUGCAGUUAAAAAGCUCGUAGUUGAACCUUGGGCCUGGCUGGCCGGUCUGCCUCACCGCAUGUACUGGUUCGGCUGGGCCUUUCCUUCUGGGGAUCCGCAUGCCCUUCACUGGGUGUGCCGGGGAACCAGGACUUUUACUUUGAAAAAAUUAGAGUGUUCAAAGCAGGCCUUUGCUCGAAUACAUUAGCAUGGAAUAAUAGAAUAGGACGUGCGGUCCUAUUUUGUUGGUUUCUAGGACCGCCGUAAUGAUUAAUAGGGAUAGUCGGGGGCAUCAGUAUUCAAUUGUCAGAGGUGAAAUUCUUGGAUUUAUUGAAGACUAACUACUGCGAAAGCAUUUGCCAAGGAUGUUUUCAUUAAUCAGUGAACGAAAGUUAGGGGAUCGAAGACGAUCAGAUACCGUCGUAGUCUUAACCGUAAACUAUGCCGACUAGGGAUCGGGCGAUGUUAUUAUUUUGACUCGCUCGGCACCUUACGAGAAAUCAAAGUUUUUGGG
rnacentral:rRNA from 1 species